CUUGAGGAGAUUCGUUUCUAGUACGAGAGGACCGAAAUGAACUGACCUCUGGUCUGGGGGCUGUCGUGCCAACGGCACCGCCCCGUAGCUAUGUCGGGACCGGAUAACCGCUGAAAGCAUCUAAGCGGGAAGCCGACUCCAAGAUUAGGAAUCGUUGAGACUCGUGGGAGAUGACCACGUUGAUAGGCGCUAGGUGGAAGGGGAGCAAUCCCUUGAGCCGAGGCGUACUAAUACGUCGACAG
rnacentral:rRNA from 1 species